rnacentral:rRNA from 1 species
CAGCCGCCGCGGGAAUACGUAGGGUGCAAGCGUUAAUCGGAAUUACUGGGCGUAAAGCGUGCGCAGGCGGUCCGCUAAGACAGAUGUGAAAUCCCCGGGCUUAACCUGGGAACUGCAUUUGUGACUGGCGGGCUAGAGUAUGGCAGAGGGGGGCAGAAUUCCACGUGUAGCAGUGAAACGCGUAGAGAUGUGGAGGAACACCGAUGACGAAGGCAGCCCCCUGGGCCAAUACUGACGCUCAUGCACGAAAGCGUGGGGAGCAAACAGGAUUAGAUACCCCCGUAGUCCCUGUCUCUUAUAC